UACGUAGGGUGCAAGCGUUAAUCGGAAUUACUGGGCGUAAAGCGUGCGCAGGCGGUUUUGUAAGUCUGACGUGAAAUCCCCCGGGCUUAACCUGGGAAUUGCAUUUGUGACUGCACGGCUAGAGUGUGUCAGAGGGGGGGUAGAAUUCCACGUGUAGCAGUGAAAAUGCGUAGAUAUGCGGAGGAACACCGAUGGCGAAGGGCAAUCCCCCUGGGCCUGCACUGACGUCAUGCACGAAAGCGUGGGGGAGCAAACAGG
rnacentral:rRNA from 1 species